rnacentral:rRNA from 1 species
AAAUGAAUUGACGGGGGCCCGCACAAGCGGAGGAACAUGUGGUUUAAUUCGAUGAUACGCGAGGAACCUUACCCGGGCUCGAACGGUGUUUGCAUAUUUGUGAAAGCAGAUAUUCCGCAAGGACAGACAUCGAGGUGCUGCAUGGUUGUCGUCAGCUCGUGCCGUGAGGUGUCGGCUUAAGUGCCAUAACGAGCGCAACCCUUACCGCCAGUUACCAUCAAGUAAAGUUGGGAACUCUGUCGGGACUGCCACCGUAAGGUGUGAGGAAGGUGGGGAUGACGUCAAAUCAGCACGGCCCUUACGUCCGGGGCUACACACGUGUUACAAUGGGGAGGACAGCGAGUUGCUUGGCAGCAAUGUCUGGCUAAUCUUUAAACCUUCUCCCAGUUCGGAUCGGAGUCUGCAACCCGACUCCGUGAAGCUGGAUUCGCUAGUAAUCGCGCAUCAGCCAUGGCGCGGUGAAUACGUUCCCGGGCCUUGUACACACCGCCCGU